GACGAACCGUGCGACCGUUGUUCGGAUUCACUGGGCUUAAAGGGCGCGUAGGCGGCUUGCCAAGUCAGGGGUGAAAUCUUUCGGCUCAACCGGAAAAGUGCUUCUGAUACUGGCGGGCUGGAGGAGGGUAGGGGCGGAUGGAACUUCCGGUGGAGCGGUGAAAUGCGUAGAUAUCGGAAGGAACGCCGGUGGCGAAAGCGAUCCGCUGGACCCUUUCUGACGCUGAGGCGCGAAAGCCAGGGGAGCAAACAGG
rnacentral:rRNA from 1 species